UUUGGAUAGCGCCAAACCGGUGGUGACAUCGGGACGGAAAACUACAGGUCUUUAUAGUAAUGACAUAAAGAUGGCUGAGUUACCCUU
rnacentral:ncRNA from 1 species